rnacentral:rRNA from 1 species
UGUCUAGGGGUUCAAACCUAAAGAACCUAAAUAUCUAAACGAAGAGAUUCAAUACUGUUGCUUGCAACAGUGUGCACUUCUCUUUUAGUAAGACGUUGUGAUCCAUUAGGAAUUGAUUGGCCAUUGUGUCAAUCAUUGGGCUACCAUUAGUCUGAUAUUGAAGUUCAUGAUGACAAAUAAUACAGUCUUUACGGUUGUGUAUAUUGUCUUGUGAGCAUAUCAUGUAACUGGUGUAGCUGCCUUAUGGAUUUUAAAGGUCAUAAUAUUAAUACAUUAUGUAUUAUCCGUUUUCGAAUGGAAUUAUUUUAUGUGCCCGAUCAACAACGGAUUCAUUUGGGAUACCUUUGGGACCCGUCUUGAAACACGGACCAAGGAGUCUAUCUAGUAUGCAAGUAAAUGGGAUAUUAAAACCUAUUUGCGUAAAUAACUUAACUGUUUUAAUGGGAUUACGAGUUUCAUUUCAUUUAUUUGUAAUGUGCUCCUCCAUCCCGGGGUAUUUUCAUAACAUAUAUGGGCAACUAUAUAUAGAAAAUAUACCAUGAGCAUACUGGAUAUGACCCGAAAGAUGGUGAACUAUGCCUGAUCAGGUUGAAGUCAGGGGAAACCCUGAUGGAGGACCGAAGCAAUUCUGACGUGCAAAUCGAUUGUCAGAAUUGGGCAUAGGGGCGAAAGACCAAUCGAACCAUC